UACGAAGGGGGCUAGCGUUGUUCGGAAUAACUGGGCAUAAAGCGCACGUAGGCGGAUUUGCAAGUCAGGGGUGAAAUCCCGGGGCUCAACCUCGGAACUGCCUUUGAAACUGCAAAUCUGGAAUCUCAGAGGGGAUAGCGGAAUUCCAAAUGUAGGGGUGAAAUCCGUAGAUAUUUGGGGGAACACCGGUGGCGAAGGCGGCUAUCUGGAUGAGUAUUGACGCUGAGGUGCGAAAGCGUGGGGAUCAAACAGG
rnacentral:rRNA from 1 species